rnacentral:ncRNA from 1 species
GCCGCGUCUAGGGUAGCCCCCGAAAAGCCGGUUCCCUGCCGGCCGGACGCGGCCUCCGAUUCGCAGGG